ensembl:lncRNA
CAGUGAGCACCUUGUCAUAAUGAACACUAUCUCGCAUUGAGCUCCAUGUCUUAAGGGGAAUUUUGUUAAAAAAAAAUUAGACACACCAUUUUUUUCAUGCAUUUUUUAUUUAUAAUGCUUAAAAAUAAUCGGGAUGACUUCUUUGGCUCCAUGCCUAUAUCGUCUCAAUGAAGCCGUGACUUCUUUGGCUCCACGCGUGUAUUGUCUCAAAGAAGCCGUGACUUCUUUGGCUCCACGCGUGUAUCGUCUCGAGGAAGCCGUGAAUUCUUUGGCUCCACGCGUGUAUCGUCUCGAGGAAGCCGUGAAUUCUUUGGUUUAACGAGUAAGCCAUUGGAAAGGCCGUGCAACUGAGUGCUGCUCUCGCGUUGACGAUCGGCAAUUGUACCGAUCUCCACGUCCCGAAAAGCGCACCGUGUCACAAUGAUCUCUCCGAGUCGCGAUGAGACCCGUAACGUGACACUCUCCGAGUCGCGAUGAGACCCGUAAAACGACACUCUCUCGAGUCGCGAUGAGACCCGUAACGCGACACUCUCGAGUCGCGAUGAGACCCGUAACGCGACACUCACGAGUCGCGAUGAGAACCGUAACGCGACACUCUCGAGUCGCGAUGAGACCCGUAACGCGACACUCUGCGAGUCGCGAUGAGACCCGUAACGCGACACUCUCCGAGUCGCGAUGAGACCCGUAACGCGACACUCUGUGAGUCGCGAUGAGCACCGUAUGGAGAAGGUCGCCAAGUCGCGAUGAGCACCGUAUGGAGAAGGUCGCCGGGUCGCGAUGAGCACCGUAUGGAGAAGGUCGCCGAGUCGCAAU